rnacentral:misc_RNA from 2 species
AAUUCUCAACCUUUAUCACUUUUGCUGAUAAUGGCUUGGAUAUGGGGGUCUAUUUUGCUGGCUUCUUUACGGAUGGUCAGCUCCCCUUAAAUGCAUUAGCUGGUGCCCCGCGUGGACUGUCUAUUGGUGUGAUAAUUAUCUACGCCGUGGACAUCUGCAAUCAUAUGGGUUUGCACUGCUUCCAACCGUCUGUUCAAUCAGACAAUUCAUGACA